rnacentral:rRNA from 1 species
CGCUGGCGGCGUGCCUAAUACAUGCAAGUCGAACGGUCUUUCUAUGGAAGCUUGCUUCCACUGAGAAGAUAGUGGCGGACGGGUGAGUAACACGUGGGUAACCUGCCCAUAAGAGGGGGGAUAACAUCCGGAAACGGGUGCUAAUACCGCAUAGUUUUCUUGAUCGCAUGAUCGGGAAAGGAAAGACGGCCUUUGUGCUGUCGCUUAUGGAUGGACCCGCGGCGUAUUAGUUAGUUGGUGAGGUAAUGGCUCACCAAGACGAUGAUACGUAGCCGACCUGAGAGGGUGAUCGGCCACAUUGGGACUGAGACACGGCCCAAACUCCUACGGGAGGCAGCAGUAGGGAAUCUUCCGCAAUGGACGAAAGUCUGACGGAGCAACGCCGCGUGAGUGAAGAAGGUUUUCGGAAUCGUAAAACUCUGUUGUCAGAGAAGAACAAGUUGGAGAGUAACUGCUCCAGCCUUGACGGUAUCUGACCAGAAAGCCACGGCUAACUACGUGCCAGCAGCUGC